rnacentral:rRNA from 1 species
CCCUUAGAUGUUCUGGGCUGCACGCGCGCUACACUGAUGCGUUCAACGAGUUUAUGACCUUGUCCGAUAGGGUUGGGUAAUCUUUUUAAAUCGCAUCGUGAUGGGGAUAGAUUAUUGCAAUUAUUAAUCUUCAACGAGGAAUUCCUAGUAAGCGCGAGUCAUCAGCUCGUGCUGAUUACGUCCCUGCCCUUUGUACACACCGCCCGUCGCUCCUACCGAUUGAAUGGUCCGGUGAAGCGUUCGGACCGUGGCCUUUGGACGGUUCGCCGUCUGUUGGCUGCGGGAAGUUCGUUAAACCUUAUCAUUUAGAGGAAGGAGAANUCGUANCA